rnacentral:pre_miRNA from 1 species
AAUAAAUUUAUCUAUGAGUUUCGAUGUCUAGUGUUUAAUCGUUUGUCUUAUUUAAACUUUUUAUGAUGGACAUUUUUAUUAUUAUUAGAUGAUAAAACAUGAAGAAUACUCAUGCAUGACUUAUUUUUUAAUUUUUUUAUAAAUUUUUAAAAUGAAAUGAAUGAUUAAACGUUAGGCACAUAAGCGCAUAAAUGAGGACGGA